rnacentral:rRNA from 1 species
AUCACCUACGGGAGGCAGCAGUGAGGAAUAUUGGUCAAUGGGCGAGAGCCUGAACCAGCCAAGUCGCGUGAAGGAUGACGGCCCUAUGGGUUGUAAACUUCUUUUGUCAGGGAGCAAUUGGGUCCACGCGUGGGCUUAGCGAGAGUACCUGAAGAAAAAGCAUCGGCUAACUCCGUGCCAGCAGCCGCGGUAAUACGGAGGAUGCGAGCGUUAUCCGGAUUUAUUGGGUUUAAAGGGUGCGUAGGCGGGAUGCCAAGUCAGCGGUCAAAUACGGGGGCUCAACCUGCGUCCGCCGUUGAAACUGG